rnacentral:rRNA from 1 species
GCUUACGGCCAGACGCCUGGUUCACGCCCGAUCUCGUUUGAUCUCGGAAGCUAAGAUAGGUUGGGCCUGGUUAGUACUUGAAAAGGAGACCGCCUGGGAAUACCAGGUGCUGUAAGCA